rnacentral:tRNA from 1 species
CCCCUCGUAGCCCAGCGGCAGAGGCCGGCGCACUUAAAAGCGCCCAUGAAGCGCGGGUUCGAAUCCCGUCGAGGGGA